GGCCCGAAUUUGAAGUAGAGUCGAACAGUAGGAUCGGCUGACCCUACUUAACUACUCUACUUCGAGUUUGUGCCC
rfam:Haemonchus placei strain MHpl1 genome assembly, scaffold: HPLM_scaffold0002257